CUACACAACUAUAAAACGGUUGCAACCCUGAUCGCAGUCUAGCCAGUUUAAGACAAGCAAGGCAAGCCAGUUAGCUGAUUUGACGUCGCUCAGUACGCGAAAAUACAUUUAACCGCAACCUAUUUUUUCCGUUUUGUUUUUGCCCCACAUGCAAUAGGCCGCGCGUUUUUCCUUCCAAGAGUGUAACAAAAGGCCAGCGAGUCAUGCAUUGCUACCUAAAUAUGCGACUGCUAAUUCUGGGUAUCAUCGGCAUUGCUGUUCUGGCUAUUGCACAUGGAUACCCCGGAUCAAACCCGGAUGUUGGCUUGGUAGCACAAAGCGACGAAGAACGUGAGGGCAUCGUGGAUGGCUUCAAGAAUUUAAUUCAGCCUGUAGCAGAUGCCUUUCGGGAUUACGUAAUUAGUCCUCUAAAGAACUUCUUCGGCGCAGGUCCGGACAGCAACGAGUAAUCUACGUUAUUCCUUCGAAAUCGCUUUACAGUGCAAAAUGCUGUGCAGUUUUACGAAAGACCGCUCUCGACGCCACAAUCAAGCCGUAACCACAGUCCUGUUGCAGUUCUUUAAAGGGCUAGUUUGGCAGUUCAUUGUGUUGGAAACCACUCGCGCAUAAGGCACACUUGUAACUUGGCCGCUUUGGUUUAACUGUAAGGCACAUCUUAUGGUGCUUACUAUAAGACGUGUUCUAUUGGUGUCCUUUCUUUUCUGGAUGGUGUCUCAUUUUGUGCGGUUGGUAUAAAAAUAACUUGCGAGGAAUAACUGUGCGCGAUAUUGUAACUGAGGCACAAGUACUGUGUUACUCGUCGCACCUGAAGAGACACAGCGCUACGGUAGCAUAUGAAUAAAUAAUCAAUAAUCGCAAA
rnacentral:lncRNA from 1 species